AAACCAGAAUCAAUUAUGAAUUGAACCAGGAAGCGACAGUCUGAACAAAAUUUUCCAGUGAAAGGUUGAAAUCUCAAUAUAAGAAGAACCAUUUACAAAUUGUCCAUAAUUUCUCUGUGAAUAAUUUUAAAAAUGAACAAUUUAAUUGUGACUGUCAUCAUCCUGACUCUUUUAGGGACUCUCUUUGCACGUCGAAUAUCUGGUCCAGAAAUUGAGAAUGUGGCAUGUACAACAGUCUUGAAUAGUCAAGGUACAUGCGUUGCCAGUCUGGUGAAUUGUGUUCCAGGGGUAGCACUUCCAUUAGGAUGCUCUAACGGCUCGGAACGAUUCUGCUGUCCAAAUGACAAAUUGUUGUAAUGCAACCUGUCGCCUCAUACAUAAUGCACAGAUAUGAUCUAAUGAAGUUAAAUAUGUAUCAUUACAUUUGUUUUUAUUAAAUAAAUUUUAUUAAAUAAAUAAUUUUGAUAAAUUAAACCCUGACUGAUGCAAA